CUGCAGGAGAGAGAACCAAAAUAUGGCAGAUUUUGAGUAAAAAUGACCAGCUGACUAAAAUAUUUCUCAUCACCAUAUGAAUUCCCUUGAAAAUCACUACUUUGUGAAAGUUAUUCAUAACCACUGCGCUAAAUAAAGAUAGCAUGCAAAUUCCAGGACCGCUCUUACUGACCUUAUUCACCUACAUGCAGCUAUAAAAUCCACCCAAACCUACUUUACCCUCUAUCACCCUGUAGGAAAAAGCCGGUUUUGGAUCAGUAAAACAAGUAUGCCUUCAAAGAUGUCAAAGGAAAUGCUGAAGCUACCCAGGGACCCAUGAUACUAAGACAAACUUAACACCAUGAAAAUCACAUAAGCAUGUUUGGUCGGGUGAAAAUCACCCGGCGAUUGUGUUCUAGGGUUAAAAACUUUCUCUCAUGCAGAUCUGACACUCUACUUUCUGUUGAGUCUCACUCUCCCCCCACUCCACCAGAACACGUCCCAGAUGACUAAACAAAUAGUAAAACGUAGCAGAAAGAGCCUCGUUCUCCUUCAAAGUACAGUAUGUCUGUUAACCACCUGGGUCGGCAGAAAACAAAGAGCUAUGACUUACCAUUCAGCACCUCAGCUUCCUGUCCUCUAUCACCCCAUUCAGUCUCCCUGCAGAGCUCUGAUGGUUAAAUGUUGGACAUGAGUUCCAGCUUUUCUUGACAGCUCUGCGGUGCUUGUGGUUUCUCUCUGCCUCUGAAGUUCCUGCAGAUUAAACGACGGGAAACGGGAAAAAGAGGGACACACAUCGUGUGAUGUCUGUAUGCAUUUUCUAGUGCUUUCCUCUUAACUCUGGAGCUAUUUUUGAGUGUUUGAUUAUGCCAUCAUGCAGUCACAAUCAAUGACACAAUCCGAGAGCGGAGCGAGUGCAGAUGAUGGAGAAUGUUGGCAGCAGUUGAAUGUCAUCUAUUGACUGUCAUGCAGAACAGAUGCUCUUUAAUGGAGAGUGAGUGAGUCACUUUCAUUGACUAUAAAAAGCUUUAAUAAAGUUCUGAGUUUGUGCAUGUGCAUGCUUUGGAUUUAUUGGGGAUAAGAAUAUGAAAAGAAUCAGGAGUCAACACAUGGAGGCGUUUUAUGGUCCCACAUUCCCAGUAAGUCACACACGAUUGAAUUCCCACUUUGUCACUUCAUCGCAAAGCAAAGUAAUCCAGUGAUUUGUACAUAACAAGAAAAAACACUUAAACACACUGGUUCCAUGAUACUUUACCAGCCUAUCUGACGUCAACGGAGCAGAACUUUGAGUAUAAAAAGUGCAAAAAUCUGGAAAACAUGCAGACUAACCUGAAAAACAUUUAUAAGAUUAGAUGUAUUAGCAGUUGUGAUUCAAUAUCCGAGCUAAUAUGCUGAAUAACUGAUGUAGUGUGAGAAUCAGAGAAACUAUAACCUCACAUCAGAUAAUAAAAUAUAAAACAAAUAAAAUAAAUCUCUGCUGGAGGACGACGUUGCCAAACGCGUUGUAAGCAAUAAAAACACGACGCCGUGUGCCAGAGAACCUGCUGCUUUAACAUCUGGUAGCAUCAAUUUUCAGAAUUUAUGACUCAAACACGAAAAGCCUGCUAAUCUGUUCUGUUAUUUCUUGGAGUUAAGGUUCGGCGCUUUUAUGUGUUUGGACUUCAAGGCUGGUGCAAAAUACUGCAGCUAAUGUUUCCCCUGAGGUUAGCCGAGCAGAUUUUGAGUAAUUAACCAAAAUCUGGAUAUAGAAUGGACGCCAUCUGUCUCCUUGCUGGGUGAAGUCACCGCGAGAACAGCACCCUCUGGUGACGGGCUGCAGUAUAGGUCAUAAAUCCC